GAGCCAGCCAGCCACAUGAACUGGACAGUUACUGGGUCUCCAUUGUGAGAUAUUUAUCGUUGAAUUGCCUGGACCACAUCCUGUCACCUCCAGAUGAACCAGACCAGAUGCUCUUGGAGUGGGACCCAUUGAUCAAGAUGAUUCUGGUCUGUGGGCAAGGCUGAGAAGCUCCAGUCCACUCCAUUACUUCACUGGGAGUAGAACUUCUGGAUAUAGAACCUGGAAACACUCUCUGGAUUUUCUGAUGGGCAAUAAGAGGACGUUCUUUGAGGUAUAGUGACACACUGUGUUGUCUGUGUGUGAAAAGGUGAGAUGGCGCAUGCUCUUAUUCUGAGGAUUCUCUGUGUCAUUUCCAUUUUGCUUGGGGGCCUGCCAACUCUUUCCUUCCAGUGAUUUCUGAAGUUUCCAUGGCGGUGGCUCCACAGAUACCUGCCAAAUGUUUGCCGUGCACCCGGACCUGUGCUUAGGGACAAUUCUCAUCCUGCUUCCACUGACAAGGGGUGUCAUUUCCAUGGUGGCCGCCUCCCUGAAAAUGCUGCCAUGUGUGGUGCUUCUGGACCUGGUGGUACCCAGUGGUCCUGCGAUGCCAGUGUAGUGCUGGAUGCUGGGCAGAUUCCGAGGCAUUUCUGCUUUCCUUGUCUCGGUUACCACCGUUUGUCUCUGGGUUCUGGAGGGGUAGCCCCCUUAGGAUGACGUAUCACUAGUCUUUAUGAUAGUAAUCCAGCCUCGCCCCCAUGAUCAUGCAUGCCCCAGAGGGACACUUAGUCAUUCCCGGGUCCUAUGGCCUAUGUAACCCAUGUGGUGUGACCACGUGAUCUAUGCCCAUGCAUGUGGGCCUUUGUGUGCAUGUGUGUGUGUGGGAUCCUUAAAAGGCAGGACUCCAUGUCGUGCCCCCCCCUCCUUCCCACACGUGUCCCUUCAGCAGGCCUGAUCACUGAUCACAUCUG